UCCAGGCCCUACGGGGCGCACCAGGCGCGGAACGUCCCCAAUGCGCGAAAGCGUGAGGGCGCUACCCCGAGUGCCCCCGCAAGGGGGCUUUUCCCCGCUCUAAAAAGGCGGGGGAAUAAGCGGGGGGCAAGUCUGGUGUCAGCCGCCGCGGUAA
rnacentral:rRNA from 1 species